GAUCUAAUCAAUUAAUUAUUAGUUAGCGUUCCAUUUGAUUAGACUUAAACGUAGAACGUGUGCUAUCGUAUUGUGAAGCCAUACAGUGCACGAAGAUGCUAUUAAACAAUUUACCAAGACAUUAUGAUAAAAGCAAAAUAAAUAAAAGAAAAAUAAUAAUGGUCUUACUUUUAAUACGGUAAUAGGGUAAAAAUAAAGGAAUAAUUUCAGAGCAGACCUUGUAUAAGACGGCUCGUUAAUACAAUUUUUUAAUAAUAUUUUUAUAAAUCGUGGAAUUCAGAUGUGUCAUAUUUUAUGAAAAUACCAGGAAAAUUCAGAAGUGGAGAGAAAGAAAAUACGGAAUAUUAUUUGGCACACUGACAUUUUGUAGAACUUUCUUUCAAUUGUAUAGCUUCACGCUGUUGAAUGAAUCACACAGAUAAAUUGUUAAAUUAUGGAAAAAGUAUAGGAGAGAAGGAUGGAACGAAGAAAAGGAAAAGAUAAAAAGUAAGGGAAGGAGGGAGGGAAACAGAGAAAAUAGGAAAGGAAAGGAGAGGGAAACGAUAUGGAAUAAUUGGCAAGGUUCAAGCAGGAAUGAAUGAGAUAUUAGAUUCCUGUAAAUUGAUUACAUGCAUAAAUGAUUAUUGUCCUCUCGUCCAUAAAAUACUAUUUCUGUUCGUAACAAUGUAUCCGAAUAUACUGGAAUUUUUAAGGACUAUUGAAAAUUGUUUACUCUUUCGUUUACGUUAUAUGUAUGCUAUACAUGUAUCAAAUAAUGACUGUAUCUCGUUUCUCACUUUUUAUGAAUUUUAUUUUUAAUUAAAUUAUUAACGCGGCUAUUUCAGCCAAUUAAGAGAUGUUCCUGUAUAUCUGAACUUCCUCUACAUCAAAUGUAUUCCAAUCAUUUACACAAGUAUGCACUUAUAUAUCUUUGUAUCACGGAAUUUUAUUAAUAAGGGUAAUUAUAUAAAGCUCCUUCUAAAAUUACUUGCUGCACAAAUAUCUUUUUUCCCAUUUUUUCACGCUCACUGUGUACGUCGAUAUAUAACGGAUAACACGUUGGAAUGCAAAAAUACAUAUCGGCUACUGGCUUUGAUUUAAUAAACUAUUCUGCUAUUUGAUAUACCUACUUCACUGUUCUUAAGUCUAUACAGUAAAAUGGGUAUAUCAAAUAAUAGAAUGGUUUAUUGAGUUAAGUAAAGUAGUACGUAGACGUGUAUUUUUACAUUCCAACGUAUUAUCCGUACUUAUUGACGUAUAACAGUGUGCGUAAAAGAAAAAGUAUUCGCGCAGCAAGUAAUUUCAGAAGCAGCUUUAUGUAAACCGGUUUAUUAAUGAUAUCGAUGAGGAUAAUAAUUAAAUCGACGUGAGAUGCAAACAUCGUUCGAAGAAUCUUUUAAAUAAACCAUUUAUGAGACUGUGUUUAUACGAGACAAAUUAUCGAGAACAAAAUUGGGCUAAACCAAAUUUUCUCAAUGUGAGUUUAUGAAAUUAAUUUACAAAGGUAAAGAAAUCUGUCUUAUUUUUCCAAAUGAAACCUAGAGAGCAUAACGAAGCGAUGUGUAAUAUAACUGUACCUGAAAAGUAAAAGAACAACCAAGAAAAAUGAGGAAAGAAAUACAUAGAGCGCUUUGACUUAACUUUUUUGAAUUGAAAGACAACGGUAUAUCAGAUACGGAAGAGAGCUGAUCGCAAUGGACGUACGUUCGUCGAUUCUCGAGAACUGAUUCCAGGAAAGGUUCAACACCUUCAGACUUUCCAUGUGCUCGAAAAGAUCUUGAUGCAACGAAUGGAGCACGUUAUGAGCCAAGUCUAAGAC